rnacentral:rRNA from 1 species
GUGGUAGGACGCUCAAGGCGACGAUCAGUAGCCGGACUGAGAGGUUGGCCGGCCACAUUGGGACUGAGAUACGGCCCAGACUCCUACGGAAGGCAGCAG